AACGCACAUUGCGCCCGCUGGUAUUCCGGCGGGCAUGCCUGUUCGAGCGUCAUUAUAACCAAUCAAGCUUUGCUUGGCUUUGAGGCCCGCUAUACCGGCGGUCUUUAAAAUCAGUGGCGGUGCCGUCUGGCUCUAAGCGUAGUAAUACUUUUCGCUAUAGUGUCCAUUUGUUCACCCGUCAAAACUCCCAAUUUUCUUAGGUUGACCUCGGAUCAGGUAGGGAUACCCGCUGAACUUAA
rnacentral:misc_RNA from 1 species